AUGGCCCAAGGUGUCUCACAAAGGCGUUCAGCUCUCCUUGCUGUCGAGAGUGGUGAUUAUCCAAGACCAGGAGCAAAUACUCAUGAGAAGAAGUGCUUUGAAUGUGGCCAGCCAGGACACUUCAAGGCAGCCUGCCCACAACUAAUAGGAGGAGGUCGUGGUAGAGGCCUGGACUGGCAUGGCAGAGAACGUGGUCGCGGGCUUGAUGGACGUGGUGGUGGUCGUGGAAGAGGUAUGUGGUCAAUAGGAAGGGCACACACUUCUGCUGUUGCUGAAGAACCAUCUAGGACUGUGAGCAUCGAGAUGACCGCCGAUGAGUUAGAGAACUGGCGUCAACUAAAGAAUUUGAGCCUUGGUGAUCUGCGGCCCUCGGAGACACAUGCAUCAUCUUCGUCAGCCAACUUCGCUGGUAACAACUCUUCUAUUAUGGGGUGUAGUGAUAAUUUUACAACAGGGGCACAAUGGUUAAUUGACUCUGGUGCAUCUAGACAUAUGGCUGGAUCUAAUAAGGAUUUUUACAAUUAUAUUUCUAAUCUAAGAAGGGAAAGUGUAAAAUUAGCUGAUGGUUCUACUCAAGCGAUUGUGGGGUCUGGAAUGGUCAAGUGCAGUCCAAAUAUGUCACUUUCUUCUGUCUUGCAUGUCCCCGCAUUUCCAAUUAACCUUUUGUCGAUCAGCUGUAUUACUGAAGAGCUGAAUUGUGCUGCUAUAUUCUUUCCUACCUGGUGCAUAUUUCAGGAACUUGGGACUGGAAGAAAGCUUGGGACGGGGAGCAUGCAUGAUGGGUUAUAUUACCUGGAUAAUAAGAUAUUCCCUACUGUGGCUGCUGCGGUGUCCUCCUCACCCCUAGAAGAAUUUCUACUUCAACAUCGUCGCUUGGGACAUCUAUCUUUUGCUACUCUGGGUCAGCUCUACCCUAAUCUUUAUUGUAAAAUUAGCAAGGAACAACUAAUGUGUGAUGCUUGUCAGUUCGGAAAGCAAACUAGGAGCUCUUAUUUGUCAUCUGAUAAUAGAAGUGAUGUACCUCUACAAACUAUACACUCAGAUGUAUGGGGUCCCAGUGGGGUGACAUCGAUAAAUGGUUAUCACUAUUUUGUUACAUUCAUCGACUGUUGCGCUAGAACUACUUGGGUCUAUAUUUUGCGUCAUAAGAGUGAUGUAUUUGAAUGCUUUAGAGAUUUUCAUAAUAUGAUUAGGACCCAAUAUUGUGCAUGGGUGAAGGUACUACGUUCGGAUAAUGGUACCGAGUAUGUGAACAAAGAACUUGAUGAAUAUCUAUCAAGUUACGGAAUUAUCCAUCAGACUACCUGUCCGGGUACAUCUGAACAGAAUGGACUAGCAGAAAGGAAAAAUAGGCGUCUCCUAGAGAUUGCUCGGUGUAUGAUGUUUCCCAUGAAUGUCCCAAAGUUUUUGUGGAGUGAAGCAGUCAUGACUGCGGCCUACUUGAUGAACAGGAUGCCAUCCAGGGUGCUUGGGUACAAGACACCAAUCGAAUGUCUAACCGAGGACACUACAUAUGUGGUUCCACCAAAAGUAUUUGGGUGUACAUGCUUUGUUAAGGAUUAUAGGCCUUCAGUUGGUAAGCUAGAUCCAAGGGCAUUAAAGUGUAUAUUUGUGGGGUAUUCUAGUAAGCAAAAAGGUUACAAGUGUUGGUGUCCUUCGGAAAGAAGAAUGUUCGUGAGUAUGGAUGUGGUAUUUAGAGAACAUGAACCAUUUUAUGGGGAACCAACAGACUUAACUGAUGUGUUUCCUGAUUUGUUUACUGAUAACAUGUUAGAUGCAUAUUGUGGGACAGGGGGAGACAAAGAAGAGGGAGAUGAUGACACAACAUCAAAAGGGAUGAUAAUUGGGGUAAUCCGUGCAGAAACUGAAGAAGAACAAAGAAAGGGGGAGCAGUAUGAUACAUCAAAUGCAGCACCCCGAUGGCCAAAACCAAACGAGGAAAGGGAGAUGCAGGUGUAUACACGAAAACGACAUACCCAGGAACAAAUGCAAGUGUUGGAACCUGAAGCUGAGGCUUAUGGACAGCAACAUGAGCAAGAGCAGGAAGCUGACCAACAAGAUGAUACUCAAAGUCAACCUGAUGACUCCAGACCUUCCUCAGAUAGUGCACUAGAUUCUGCAGGACCCUUACCACGGGACUGGCAGGAGGCAAAGUCGAACCCAAAAUGGAGGGCAGCUAUGAUAGAGGAGAUGACAGCACUUGACAAGAACAAUACUUGGGAAAUGAUGAUGGUGAGAUCUCUUGGUUGA
rnacentral:rRNA from 1 species